UGAUAAGCUAAAAUGCAGCAUUGAAAAUAUCUCUCUCUUCUGCCAAACUCACGUGAAACGAGUACUCUAUCUUUUUUGCCAAACUCUUCAAGGGGUCGAAGCUGCCUCUGCUAGAGGUCUGGUUACUAGCCCUCAAUGUACGGGGAUAGUUGUCAUUGCAAGUUACCUCCUUGCACUCCGGCUGCCACCUCGACUACCGUCGUUUCGGCUACUCGCCCACAAUGUACUAGAGGUAGUUGUCACUGCAAGGUACCUCCUGCACUCCGGUCGCUGCCGUAACUACCACCGCGACUACAGUUGUUUCCGCUCAUCUUCCACCUUCCAAUGAUAAUAAUUAGUUUAUUAUAAUUUGUGUAAUAAAAUUAUGUAUCUAUGAAACGACGGUAGUUGCGGUGGUGACCAGAGUGCAAGGAGGUACCUUACAACAAUAACUAUUCCAGCAGGCUAGUAAUCAGACCUCUUCCAAGGCAACUUUGACCGGCAUUGUUGGAACAUGAGAAAUGAGUAAAAGGAUUAAAAAAGAAAUUGCAAUUCCAGUUUUCAUUUUUGUAUCAAGUAAGAUGGAUAAUUUCAUUUUUGUUUCGUAACUCUGAUUAGUUGGUAAUCUCUUUUCUUAUUUUUAGUCGGAUUGUUUUUUUGUUUAUCGUGUAGACAGGAUGAAGAACCCUUAAUUUUUCGGUUAAUAUUAUUUUGAUUAAAAAAAAUCAUCUAUGCGUACAAUUAUUAAAUAAACUUUAUGUAUCUAUGUGUAUCUGUUGUACGGGUACAAUUAUUAAAUAAACGUUGUGUUCUGUUAUAUUAUUUA